GCCUGGAUGGUCUAGUGGUAUGAUUCUCGCUUAGGGUGCGAGAGGUCCCAGGUUCAAAUCCUGGUUCAGGCC
rnacentral:tRNA from 1 species